rnacentral:rRNA from 1 species
AAGGUGCUAAGCAUUGUUAAACCUCUUUUGCCGGGGAACAAAAGAUCCCACGCGUGGGAUUAUGAGUGUACCCGGAGAAAAAGCAUCGGCUAACUCCGUGCC